rnacentral:tRNA from 1 species
GUGGGUAUAGCUCAGCUCGGUAGAGCGCUUGACUGUGGCUCAAGUUGUCGCGGGUUCAAAUCCCGUUACCCACCCCA